rnacentral:rRNA from 1 species
AUACGUAGGGUGCAAGCGUUAAUCGGAAUUACUGGGCGUAAAGCGUGCGCAGGCGGUUUUGUAAGACAGAGGUGAAAUCCCCGGGCUCAACCUGGGAACUGCCUUUGUGACUGCAAGGCUAGAGUACGGCAGAGGGGGAUGGAAUUCCGCGUGUAGCAGUGAAAUGCGUAGAUAUGCGGAGGAAAACCGAUGGCGAAGGCAAUCCUCUGGGCCUGCACUGACGCUCAUGCACGAAAGCGUGGGGAGCAAACAGGAUUAGAUACCCUGGUAGUCCACGCCCUAAACGAUGUCAACUGGUUGUUGGGGAUUUAUUUUCUCAGUAACGAAGCUAACGCGUGAAGUUGACCGCCUGGGGAGUACGGCCGCAAGGUUAAAACUCAAAUGAAUUGACGGGG